ACUCCGUACGGGAGGCAGCAGGUGGGGAAUAUUGCACAAUGGGCGCAAGCCUGAUGCAGCAACGCCGCGUGAGCGAUGAAGGCCUUCGGGUCGUAAAGCUCUGUCCUCAAGGAAGAAUAAAUGACGGUACUUGAGGAGGAAGCCCCGGCUAACUACGUGCCAGCAGCCGCGGUAAUACGUAGGGGGCAAGCGUUAUCCGGAAUCACUGGGCGUAAAGGGUGCGUAGGCGGUUUUUCAAGUCAGAAGUGAAAGGCUAUGGCUCAACCAUAGUAAGUUUUUGAAACUGUUAAACUUGAGUGCAGGAGAGGAAAGUGGAAUUCCUAGUGUAGAGGUGAAAUUGUAGAUAUUAGGAGGAACACCAGUGGCGAAGGCGACUUUCUGGAUGUAACUGACGCUGAGGCACGAAAGCGUGGGGAGCGAACAGGAUUAGAUACCCUGGUAGCACAGAG
rnacentral:rRNA from 1 species